ensembl:snRNA U6 U6 spliceosomal RNA
AUGCUUGCUUCGGCAGCACAUAUUCUAAAACUGGAGCAAUACAGAGAAGAUGAGUUUGGCCCCUGAGCAAGGAUGACAUGAAAAGAACAGAAAGUUAUUCUGACUAG